rnacentral:sRNA from 1 species
AUGAAGAAAUGGUAGGGUUGAUGCUGGCUCUUCGGAGUAUGUGCUCGCCUUAUCGCUUUUUCUACUUCUCCACCUGUGCACCUAUUGUAGAUCGUGUUGGAAAUCCUUUGUGGUUUCUCGUUCACUUUGAACGGUUCAGAUGUCUUGCUUUCUUGGCUAGACUUCGACUCUUCACGAUCUAUGUUAUAUCAAACUCUUAAAGUCUUUGAAUGUACUAGUUGGUCUUCAUUGACCGAUAAUUUAAAACAACUUUCAGCAACGGAUCUCUUGGCUCUCGCAUCGAUGAAGAACGCAGCGAAAUGCGAUAAGUAAUGUGAAUUGCAGAAUUCAGUGAAUCAUCGAAUCUUUGAACGCACCUUGCACUCCUUGGUAUUCCGAGGAGUAUGCCUGUUUGAGUGUCAUUAAAUUCUCAAGCUUCAACCUUGUUGUAAUGACUUGGAUUGUUGUUUGGACUUGAGGGUUGCUGCGAGUCUUUUGACUUUUGAACCGGCUCCCUUUAAAUGCAUUAGUGGUGACUUGGACCCACUAUCAAAUGUGUUGAUAAUUAUCUACACUUUGAAGUGACCGAAUGUCUUUCCGCUUCUAACCGUCUUUCGAGACAAUAUCUUGAAA